UUUAUUUCAUUUGGGCAGAGAGCAAAAUGCAAAAUCUAAAUAUCUAUACUCAAUGUUAUGUUGGUUAGAGUGUCCUGGGCUAUUGGGGGCCUGCAGGCUUGUUCGGCGAUUUGCAAUUGGCUGCUGUCGAAUUGAAAUUGAAGUGUGUACUUCACAUACCAAGCAGACGACUCCUCGACAACUAUCAAGCGCACGGGAUUUUUUGUUGUGGUCAGUUAAUUGUGUUGUGCGGCCUCUACCCAUUCUCUCCACUCUCACAUGGAACAUCAUUUUUGUAAGCAUAAACUUUUUCAGAAUUUAUAUGUUUAAAAACAGACUAUGGCGACUGCGCUAGGAGAAAAAUAUGUUUCACGAAAAGAUCACUUUUGAAAUAUAUAAAAGACCUGAAGUAGAGUUAAUUAGAGUCGAGCGAUU